UACGUAUGGAGCGAGCGUUGUCCGGAAUUAUUGGGCGUAAAGGGUGCGCAGGCGGCUUUACAAGUUGGAUGUGAAAUAUUGUGGCUCAACCACAAACGUGCAUCCAAAACUGCAAAGCUUGAGUUAAGGAGAGGUAAGUGGAAUUCCUGGUGUAGCGGUGGAAUGCGUAGAUAUCAGGAGGAAUACCGGUGGCGAAGGCGACUUACUGGACUUAAACUGACGCUCAGGCACGAAAGCGUGGGGAGCAAACAGGAUUAGAUAC
rnacentral:rRNA from 1 species